UGGAGGGCAGGGAAAUGGGCCGAGUCCUGCAUCAUCCACCGAGUGGGGGCUGUGGAUAGGUGCGGCGCUGCUUCCCUGGGGAGAAACGCUCCAUCUUGCGGGCCGAAGCGCGAGUGCUGCUCUGUGACAGCCUCCGGCCGCGGCCUUCCCAGCUGCUACCGCCGCUUUUCGGAUGGGCUGUGAUAGAUGGAGUAGCAGCGAAGACUGCUAGAAGAGCGUUUUCAGUCGGCCUUUAGUGAUUCGUAAAACCAAAUUAGCUGGUUUCUACUUGGAAGGGGUACAGAAGAUCAAACUCUCCCAAAAAGUAGAGAUUAAACAACAACUAAAGAUGGCGAAUCAUAGAAGUUACCACCAUUCCUGGUAUUGGUCCCAGUUCUUCUAAGAAUAUUUUUGAUGCAAGAGCCGUUUUAUCUUGAAUCCUACAUAGCUUAUUUUCCAUUUUUCCAUUCAAAUAAAACAAGAGAACAAUAGAGUGAAGAAAAAGGAUGUUUAAGUCUAAAUCCAAGACUGAGGUACAAGACCAAGAAAAGUGGGGCAGAAGAUGGAAAAGAACAAGCGAAGAAUCUUGGAAACAAUUCAAAGGCACGUUGGAU
rnacentral:lncRNA from 1 species